rnacentral:rRNA from 1 species
UGCUUAACACAUGCGAGUUCGAAUUAAUAGUUUUUAAAACAGAUAUUAAUAGCGUACGGGUGAGUAAUGCAUAAGAAUUUACCUUACAUUUUAGAAAUUUAAAUCUAUAAGGAUUAUAAUUGAAUAAAUAUAUUUAAAUAUAAUGCAAAAAUUAAUAUUGGUGUAAGAUAAGCUUAUGUAAAAUUAGAUAGUUGGUAAGGUAAUGGCUUACCAAGUCUACGAUUUUUAGCUGGUCUUAGCGGAUGAUCAGCCACAUUGGGACUGAAACAUGGCCCAACCUCUUUUUGGAGGCAGCAGUGAGGAAUAUUGGACAAUGAACGAAAGUUUGAUCCAGCAAUACUACGUGAAUGAAGAAGGUUUAUAUUUAUUGUAAAGUUCUUUCGAUGAGGAGGAUAAUGACGUUACUCAUAAAAGAAGUCCCGACUAACCUCGUGCCAGCAGUCGCGGUAAUACGGGGGGGGCAAGCGUUAUUCUACGUUACUGGGUGUAAAGAGUAUUAAGGCGGUUUAGUAAGUUUUUUUUAAAAUCUUAAAAUUCAAUUUUAAAACUAAUUGUAAAUACUGCUAAACUUUGAGUAUAAUAGAAGAUUGU